rnacentral:rRNA from 1 species
UGGGGAAUAUUGCACAAUGGGCGCAAGCCUGAUGCAGCCAUGCCGCGUGUAUGAAGAAGGCCUUCGGGUUGUAAAGUACUUUCAGCGAGGAGGAAGGCGUUGUGGUUAAUAACCGCAACGAUUGACGUUACUCGCAGAAGAAGCACCGGCUAACUCCGUGCCAGCAGCCGCGGUAAUACGGAGGGUGCAAGCGUUAAUCGGAAUUACUGGGCGUAAAGCGCACGCAGGCGGUCUGUCAAGACGGAUGUGAAAUCCCCGGGCUCAACCUGGGAACUGCAUCCGAAACUGGCAGGCUAGAGUCUUGUAGAGGGGGGUAGAAUUCCAGGUGUAGCGGUGAAAUGCGUAGAGAUCUGGAGGAAUACCGGUGGCGAAGGCGGCCCCCUGGACAAAGACUGACGCUCAGGUGCGAAAGCGUGGGGAGCAAACA